rnacentral:rRNA from 1 species
AUUGAACGCUGGCGGCAUGCCUUACACAUGCAAGUCGAACGGCAGCACGGGAGCAAUCCUGGUGGCGAGUGGCGAACGGGUGAGUAAUACAUCGGAACGUGCCCAAUCGUGGGGGAUAACGCAGCGAAAGCUGUGCUAAUACCGCAUACGAUCUACGGAUGAAAGCAGGGGAUCGCAAGACCUUGCGCGAAUGGAGCGGCCGAUGGCAGAUUAGGUAGUUGGUGAGGUAAGGGCUCACCAAGCCGUCGAUCUGUAGCUGGUCUGAGAGGACGACCAGCCACACUGGGACUGAGACACGGCCCAGACUCCUACGGGAGGCAGCAGUGGGGAAUUUUGGACAAUGGGCGAAAGCCUGAUCCAGCCAUGCCGCGUGCAGGAUGAAGGCCUUCGGGUUGUAAACUGCUUUUGUACGGAACGAAACGGCCUUUUCUAAUAAAGAGGGCUAAUGACGGUACCGUAAGAAUAAGCACCGGCUAACUACGUGCCAGCAGCCGCGGUAAUACGUAGGGUGCAAGCGUUAAUCGGAAUUACUGGGCGUAAAGCGUGCGCAGGCGGUUAUGUAAGACAGUUGUGAAAUCCCCGGGCUCAACCUGGGAACUGCAUCUGUGACUGCAUAGCUAGAGUACGGUAGAGGGGGAUGGAAUUCCGCGUGUAGCAGUGAAAUGCGUAGAUAUGCGGAGGAACACCGAUGGCGAAGGCAAUCCCCUGGACCUGUACUGACGCUCAUGCACGAAAGCGUGGGGAGCAAACAGG